rnacentral:lncRNA from 1 species
CCUCAUAAGGUGGCCUGUAGUAAACACCCACAACAGUAUCAGCCAUGGUAGCCUGCCCUUUAAUCCUUACCCAUAAGCUCUCAACUUGCUCUUUCUCCACUAUUCUCGAUCCAUUCUAGUUCUCUCACAUAAAGUGCAACUUCACCACCUCACCUUCCUGGACUGCCUUUCCUAAAAAGCACGUAGCCCUCCAUGACAGCAUUCCAGUCAUGUGCGCUAUUGCACCAUGUUCCUGUAGUUGCUAUGAGAUCGCAGCCUUGUGACCUCACAUAGAUCUCCAGGCUGUCCUGUUUAUUCCCCAUGCUAUGUGUAUUGAUAUAUAAACAUUUCAGGGACGUGACCAAGCCGACAGGUUUCUCAUGAGGGGUGCAAGUUGAUUUUUUACUCAUGUCCUGCACUCACUUCCCUGGCUGCAGGCACCCAUUUGAGGCAUCCUGACUCCCAUUAAACUCCUGAAGAACCAGAAACGACAAUAUGCUUUCUUACUAUGGUCAUAAAACUAAAGGUAUCCCCAGUAGAAAAAAGGAAGUUCAGAUAACACAGCAAGAGCUGAUAAAGUUAUCUAACAGACUACUUUAA